AAGCGCUGGCAACCAGACUUGUGGUUAAAGGUUCCCCCUGGCUUCUGCCUGGGUUACUCCUUUCUCUCCAGGCCAACAUCGGUUUGAGCGGCUGGUUAAAGGCCCUGGGAAUGUAUCAUCCCCUCGGGGAUGACUUAUAGCUCAGGGUGUCAUGCAGCCUGUUUGGACCGAGGAACGCGCUUCGGCUCGGAUGUUGGCGUAAUGGUUGUCAGCGA
rnacentral:rRNA from 1 species